rnacentral:rRNA from 1 species
CCUACGGGAGGCAGCAGUGGGGGAUAUUGCACAAUGGGGGAAACCCUGAUGCAGCGACGCCGCGUGGGCGAAGAAGUAUUUCGGUAUGUAAAGCCCUAUCAGCAGGGAAGAAGAAAUGACGGUACCUGAGUAAGAACCACCGGCUAAAUACGUGCCAGCAGCCGCGGUAAUACGUAUGGUGCAAGCGUUAUCCGGAUUUACUGGGUGUAAAGGGAGCGCAGGCGGCAAGGCAAGCCUGAUGUGAAAGCCCGGGGCCUAACCGCGGGACUGCAUUGGAAACUACCGGGCUGGAGUGCAGGAGAGGUAGGCGGAAUUCCGAGUGUAGCGGUGAAAUGCGUAGAUAUUAGGAGGAACACCAGUGGCGAAGGCGGCCUACUGGACGGUGACUGACGCUGAGGCUCGAAAGCGUGGGGAGCAAACAGGAUUAGAUACCCGAGUAGUC